rnacentral:rRNA from 1 species
UACGUAGGGGGCAAGCGUUGUCCGGAAUCAUUGGGCGUAAAGCGCGUGUAGGCGGUUCGGUAAGUCGGCUGUGAAAGUCCAGGGCUCAACCCUGGGAUGCCGGUCGAUACUGCCGGACUAGAGCUCGGAAGAGGCGAGUGGAAUUCCCGGUGUAGCGGUGAAAUGCGCAGAUAUCGGGAGGAACACCAAUGGCGAAGGCAGCUCGCUGGGACGUUACUGACGCUGAGACGCGAAAGCGUGGGGAGCAAACAGG